UAAAUUGAAUAAAUUAAAA
rnacentral:sRNA from 1 species